UAUGACUUUGUUUGUCCUUUUCUUACUCUCUUUCUUUCUCCAUCCUUUAUUUAUUAUCCCCCACUCCUUCAUUCAUUCUCAAUAUCCCUCCUUUCUCAAUAAUCUUCCACAUUGUUUUCUUAAUUUCUUCUCCAUCUCCAAGAUCAUAAGGAGGAAGUUCUCUCAGUUGAGGGGAAUGUUGUCUGGCUCGAGGUCACCAACUAGAUCCAUAAUCCCUAUAAGAUGCUUUUCAAAAAAAGAUUAGUUGAUUUUUAUAAUACGAAAAGGGGUUAUGGAUAAUGUGUUAGUGUUGUCGGACCAGGCUUCAUUCCCCCCAAUUGUUGCUUCCUCUAAGGGAAAAGGGUUCAUUUGAUAAACUUUCUUGGUAAAAAUAUUUGCAUCCAUCACUAUGUUACUUUAGUGACAAAAACUAGUAGGAUGUGACUUUAUACAUGUACAUAUUUUGGAAAAGCUAAGUUUUUUUUUUGUUUUUAAAUGUGAGAUCUUGGUGUAUAUAUGAGGUGAGUUUUUGUUUUUGUAUUUUGUAGGUUGUGGGAUAUGGUCAUUAUUAGGUAAUGUUGUUGGUGGACAAGAGCAGAUUGGUGUAAUGAUGAAGAUAUUUGACUCAUUUGCCACUUUCCUGCCAAGGUAAAGCAGAAUGAGUUUAUGCUUGUGCAUAUGGAAAAUAAUGUUGAAAUGAGAGAUAAUAUCCUAACUUGUAUUGUGUACAAGAUCUUGUGACAUCAUCAUACACAGAUAUGCUAAUAAAUCUCUUCACAUGAAUAAGAGGUCAUUCCACAUUUUGUUUCACCUUUUGGGUUAAAACUAUAGAAAGUGUGAAAGAAUAUAAUUCAUUCUAAGCUUUAAUUUUGUAAAGCUUGCGUAAGAUUUCUUUUUCCUUGAGAGAAUAAUCUUUUCAAAGAUCUAUUCUUUACCAGAGUUCUAAUUUAAGUUGCAUAAACUGUUUAAGUUAGAGUUUAUUCAAAAGAUAUGACAAGUUACUAUAACAUGUAAAAAAAAAAUUUACUCGACUUGAACUUUCAUUCUAAUGGUGAAGGUUAUCAAUUACCCUUAAUAUAUUUUGAUGUGAAAGUAAGACGGUAUAAAUUACAUAAUGGAUCUGUGGAUGUAACAUUGCAUAUGCACUUUGGAAAUUGAAGCUGAAUUCUGUCA